rnacentral:rRNA from 1 species
UGGGGAAUUUUGGACAAUGGGCGAAAGCCUGAUCCAGCAAUGCCGCGUGUGUGAAGAAGGCCUUCGGGUUGUAAAGCACUUUUGUCCGGAAAGAAAUCCUUGGCUCUAAUACAGUCGGGGGAUGACGGUACCGGAAGAAUAAGCACCGGCCAACUACGUGCCAGCAGCCGCGGUAAUACGUAGGGUGCAAGCGUUAAUCGGAAUUACUGGGCGUAAAGCGUGCGCAGGCGGUUUGCUAAGACCGAUGUGAAAUCCCCGGGCUCAACCUGGGAACUGCAUUGGUGACUGGCAGGCUAGAGUAUGGCAGAGGGGGGUAGAAUUCCACGUGUAGCAGUGAAAUGCGUAGAGAUGUGGAGGAAUACCGAUGGCGAAGGCAGCCCCCUGGGCCAAUACUGACGCUCAUGCACGAAAGCGUGGGGAGCAAACAGGAUUAGAUACCCUGGUAGUCCACGCCCUAAACGAUGUCAACUAGUUGUUGGGGAUUCAUUUCCUUAGUAACGUAGCUAACGCGUGAAGUUGACCGCCUGGGGAGUACGGUCGCAAGAUUAAAACUCAAAUGAAUUGACGGGGUCAUAGCUGUUUCCU